rnacentral:miRNA from 1 species
CUAUAAAUCAUCUGGUGAUAUUAAAUGCAGAUUCUGAUUUAGGCAGUCUGGACAUGGCCUUAGAUUCUGCAUUUUUAAUAAACAAGAUCCCAGGUGAUACCAGU